rnacentral:rRNA from 1 species
AGAGUUUGAUCCUGGCUCAGAGUGAACGCUGGCGGCAGGCCUAAUACAUGCAAGUCGAACGGCAGCACAGCAGAGCUUGCUCUGUGGGUGGCGAGUGGCGGACGGGUGAGGAAUACAUGGGAAUCUGCCCAGUCGUGGGGGAUAACGUAGGGAAACUUACGCUAAUACCGCAUGCGCCCUUCGGGGGAAAGCCGGGGACCGUAAGGCCUGGCGCGAUUGGAUGAGCCCAUGUCGGAUUAGCUAGUUGGCGGGGUAAAGGCCCACCAAGGCGACGAUCCGUAGCUGGUCUGAGAGGAUGAUCAGCCACACUGGAACUGAGACACGGUCCAGACUCCUACGGGAGGCAGCAGUAGGGAAUAUUGGACAAUGGGCGCAAGCCUGAUCCAGCCAUGCCGCGUGAGUGAAGAAGGCCCUCGGGUUGUAAAGCUCUUUUGUCCGGAAAGAAAAGCGCCGGGUUAAUACCCUGGUGUCCUGACGGUACCGGAAGAAUAAGCACCGGCUAACUUCGUG